rnacentral:rRNA from 1 species
UACGUAGGGGGCGAGCGUUGUCCGGAUUCAUUGGGCGUAAAGAGCUCGUAGGCGGCUUGGCAAGUCGGGUGUGAAAACUUCAGGCUCAACCUGGAGAUGCCACUCGAUACUGCUAUGGCUAGAGUCCGGUAGGGGACCACGGAAUUCCUGGUGUAGCGGUGAAAUGCGCAGAUAUCAGGAGGAACGCCGGUGGCGAAGGCGGUGGUCUGGGCCGGCACUGACGCUGAGGAGCGAAAGCGUGGGGAGCGAACAGG